AGGUCCCCGGGCAGCGCAUGGCUCAGUUCUGUGUACAACAAACAUGGCGUCGCCAUGGCAACCGCCCCGAAAUUCGGUUUUAUAUAGCAGUGACAAACCCCGCCGCCUUUCCCAAAGUCACCAUUUAGCACUGCAUUCUCACACCUCACCUCCAUGUAACCAUUCCGUGCCAUUUCCGUGCUCUCACACAGGGAUCUGUGUGGGGGCUGUUCCUUUCCUCUGACCAGUCAAACUAAUCUGUACCUCCUGCCUCAAGCUUGGAACACACUAGAGAGAAAGUUCCAGAAAGGACUCGGCAGGUCUCCUCAGCAGCAGCAGCAGGGAGGGACCCCAGUGCAGUCCUAGAUAGCUGCCAGUCACUUGGCCGGGCUGGCUCACAGAAGGUGCAGGAGGCACAGAUGGCACUAAUGCAUAAAUGUGAUCUAGCAAAGGGAUGCCAACACCAACCCCCAACAGGUUCCAAGGAACUGCAGUGCACUUACAGGGAUACGAGGGUUGGCAAGGUGAAAGCUGAGAUUUGCAGGAGCUCACUAUUCCCAAAUCAACAACAGAAUCCUACAACAAAUGAGCAGAUUUAUUUAUUAACUUAGAAAAUGCACGUAAUGGCACGAUCUCUGGGCAUGUGUGUAACAAAGCCUCUCCAAACCCCCCACUCGUUAUAUAAAUUAUACUGAGCAAAGGAAAGAAGGGAGAAGGGGAAAGGUGGGAACUGAAAACAAGGACAAACUGAGGAGCAUGUACCCACUCCUGGGUUUUAGGGGAGAGGUCCUAAAGAGAAAUAUGGGCAGCACAGAGGGGUUGGCAGUCAAAGGAUCUGGACAGUGUCUAGAAGCGAUGGAGCAAACCCCAUAAACACCCUGUCCAGAGCACACUAACAUCCCAACAAACACGCGUUUUUAGUAGUAGCUGGCAAUGGACACUUAGGAAAAAUGCACAGGGAAGGGAGUAAACGCAGUGUGACUGUGUCCCCCAUGGGACACCUCUCCCGCCUGCCAGAGAACAGGAGCAUUCCCACAGGCACACUGGUAACACUGACUUCCAGUGAGCCCAAGGCAGGAAUGGAGGGCACCCCAGUGCACACAUCUGGAGGCUGCCAGCACAGUGUGUGACAGGCCAGCUGCUGGGGGGCCCAGAAGGAGCCCCUGAUGGACACCACACUGUCACCAUACAGAUCUCAGUACCGUGAGCCUUACACAGCUGACCGGAAUUACUCCCAAUUUUCCACAAGGCACAUGAGAGCAGAAGCAGAGCCUAAAAAUUAACAGCUGGUAACUGUUAGUGACCGUGGUACCAGC